GCAGUCGAGCGGUAGCACAGAGGAGCUUGCUCCUUGGGUGACGAGCGGCGGACGGGUGAGUAAUGUCUGGGAAACUGCCUGAUGGAGGGGGAUAACUACUGGAAACGGUAGCUAAUACCGCAUAACCUCGCAAGAGCAAAGAGGGGGACCUUAGGGCCUCUCGCCAUCAGAUGUGCCCAGAUGGGAUUAGCUAGUAGGUGAGGUAAUGGCUCACCUAGGCGACGAUCCCUAGCUGGUCUGAGAGGAUGACCAGCCACACUGGAACUGAGACACGGUCCAGACUCCUACGGGAGGCAGCAGUGGGGAAUAUUGCACAAUGGGCGCAAGCCUGAUGCAGCCAUGCCGCGUGUGUGAAGAAGGCCUUCGGGUUGUAAAGCACUUUCAGCGAGGAGGAAGGCGGUAAGGUUAAUAACCUUAUCGAUUGACGUUACUCGCAGAAGAAGCACCGGCUAACUCCGUGCCAGCAGCCGCGGUAAUACGGAGGGUGCAAGCGUUAAUCGGAAUGACUGGGCGUAAAGCGCACGCAGGCGGUCUGUUAAGUUGGAUGUGAAAUCCCCGGGCUUAACCUGGGAACUGCAUUCAAAACUGACAGGCUAGAGUCUUGUAGAGGGGGGUAGAAUUCCAGGUGUAGCGGUGAAAUGCGUAGA
rnacentral:rRNA from 1 species